GGAGGCGACAGGCGGCCUGGUGGCCCCCACGGUCUUCAAAACCGGCGACCCGCUCACCCCGGGUGGUGGGUUCGAUUCCCAUCCGCCUCCGCCA
rnacentral:tRNA from 1 species